rnacentral:rRNA from 1 species
UAAGCGGUCAGUGAAUCGUGUGGCUCAACCAUGCGGCUACUGACUGAACUAAUAAACUAGAGUAUGAGAGAGGUAGCUGGAAUUCCUGGUGUAGGAGUGAAAUCCGUGGAUAUCAGGAGGAACACCAAUGGCGUAGGCAGGCUACUGGCUCAUCACUGACGCUGAGGCACGAAAGCGUGGGUAGCGAACGGGAUUAGACUACCCCGGUAGUCCACGCCGUAAACGAUGGAUGCUA